AUUCCUUUCAAAAUAUUACCGCUCAUUGACAAUGCACCUGGUCACCCAAGAGCUCUGAUGGAGAUGUACAACAAGACUCACAUUUUCAUGCCUGUAACACAAUAUCCAUUCUGCAGCCCAUGGAUCCAAGUAAUUUUGACUUUCAAGUCUUAUUAUUUAAGAAACAUAUUUUGUAAGGCUGUAGUUGCCAUAGAUCGUGAUUCCUCUGAUAGAUUUGGGCAAAGUCAGUUGAAAACCUUCUGGAAAGGAUUCACCAUUCUAGAUGCCAUUAAGAAUAUUCGUGAUUCAUGGGAAGAGGACAAAAUAUCAACAAUAACAAGAGUUUGGAAGAAGAUGAUUUGGGCCCUCAUGGAUGACUUUUGAGGAGGGACUUUAGUGGAGGAAGUAGCUGCAGACCUGGCAGGAAAAGCAAGAGAAUGAGAAUUCGAAGUGGAGCCUGAAAAUGGAACUGAAUGGCUACAAUCUCAUGAUAAAACUUGAACAGAUGAGGAGUUGCUUCCUGAGGAGAAAAACAAAAAAGGGUUUUCUUGAGAUGGAAUCUACUCCUGGUGCAGAGGCUGUGAAGACUGUUGAAAUGACAACAGAAGAGUUGGAAUGUUACAUAAGCUUAGUUGAUAAGGCAGAAGCAGAGUUUGAGAGGAUUAAUUCCAAUUUUGAGAGAAGUUCUGCUGUGGGUAAAAUGCCAUCAAAUAUCAUUGUGUGUUACAGAGACAUCAUUCAUGAAAGGAAGAGUCAAUUGAUGCAGGAAACUUCAAUGUUGUUUUACUCUAAGAAAUCGCUACAGCCAGCCCAACCUUCAGCAACCCAGCAACCUGAUCAGUCAGUAGCCAUCCACACUGAGACAAGACAGUCCACCAGCAAAAAGAUUACGACUCCCAGAAAGCUCAAAUGAUGUCUUUGCGGAUUCCGCCAUGGACAAGCCAGACGAGGUCUUCCAGAAAGCUUUUGGAGAGGGCAUGUCACCAACACCUUGAUUUUGGACUUCUAGCUUCCAGAAUUUCGGAGAAUAAAUUUCUGUCAUUUUAAGUCA